AGCUCCAAGAGUGUAUAUUAAAGUUGUUGCGGUUAAAAAGCUCGUAGUUGGACUUUGGGUAGGGGCACGAGGUCCCCCGCGGCGUGCCGUGGGGAUCGAGGCCGAGCGUUUCCCUCCCUGCUCUCGAAACGGUUCGAUGGUAAAACAUCGGUUUCGUAGGGUUUACUUUGAAGAAAUUAGGGUGCUCAAAGCAGGCGAAUCGCCUUGAAUACAUUAGCGUGGGAUAAUGAAAGAUGACCUUUGGUCUAUACUUUAUUGGUUUCUAAGGCUUAGGUAAUGAUUAACAGGGACAGUUGGGGUCGCUUGUAUUCAGUGGUCAGAGGUGAAAUUCUAGGACCCACUGAGGACAAACAAAUGCGAAGGCAUUCGACAAGGAUGUUUUCA
rnacentral:rRNA from 1 species